rnacentral:rRNA from 1 species
GACACGCGUAGGGAACCCGGGUGAAAGCCGUGGGGUCGCCCCGCGGAGGGGAGCCCUAGCACAGGUGCUGCAUGGCCGUCGUCAGCUCGUGCCGUGAGGUGUUGGGUUAAGUCCCGCAACGAGCGCAACCCCCGCCGUUAGUUGCCAGCGGUUCGGCCGGGCACUCUAACGGGACUGCCCGCGAAAAGCGGGGAGGAAGGAGGGGACGACGUCUGGUCAGCAUGGCCCUUACGGCCUGGGCGACACACGUGCUACAAUGCCCACUACGAAGCGAGGCCACCCGGCAACGGGGAGCUAAUCGCAAAAAAGGUGGGCCCAGUUCGGAUUGGGGUCUGCAACCCGACCCCAUGAAGCCGGAAUCGCUAGUAAUCGCGGAUCAGCCAUGCCGCGGUGAAUACGUUCCGGCCUU